CCCUUAGAUGUUCUGGGCCGCACGCGCGCUACACUGAUGCAUUCAACGAGUCUAAAACCUGCUCUGAUAGGGGUGGGUAAUCUUUUGAAUGUGCAUCGUGAUUGGGAUAGAUGAUUGCAAUUUUUCAUCUUCAACGAGGAAUGCCUAGUAAACGCAAGUCAUCAGCUUGCAUUGAUUACGUCCCUGCCCUUUGUACACACCGCCCGUCGCUCCUACCGAUCGAAGAGUUAGGUGAAUUGUUUUGAUCGAUAAGAUUUGACUAUGGUCAACUCUCGUUGUGAAAUUCUGUGAAUCUGACUGUUUAGAGGAAGGAAAAGUCGUAACA
rnacentral:rRNA from 1 species